rnacentral:rRNA from 1 species
UCCGGAUUUAUUGGGCGUAAAGGGAGCGCAGGCGNUCAGGAAAGUCUGGAGUAAAAGGCUAUGGNUCAACCAUAGUGUGCUCUGGAAACUGUCUGACUUGAGUGCAGAAGGGGAGAGUGGAAUUCCAUGUGUAGCGGUGAAAUGCGUAGAUAUAUGGAGGAACACCAGUGGCGAAAGCGGCUCUCUGGUCUGUCACUGACGCUGAGGCUNGAAAGCGUGGGUAGCGAACAGGAUUAGAUACCCUGGUAGUNCACGCCGUAAACGAUGAGUGCUAGGUGUUAGGCCCUUUCCGGGGCUUAGUGCCGGAGCUAACGCAAUAAGCACUCCGCCUGGGGAGUACGACCGCAAGGUUGAAACUCAAAGGAAUUGACGGGGGCCCGCACAAGCGGUGGAGCAUGUGGUUUAAUUCGAAGCAACGCGAAGAACCUUACCAGGUCUUGACAUCCCGAUGCUAUUCUUAGAGAUAGGAAGUUACUUCGGUACAUCGGAGACAGGUGGUGCAUGGUUGUCGUCAGCUCGUGUCGUGAGAUGUUGGGUUAAGUCCCGCAACGAGCGCAACCCUUAUUGUUAGUUGCCAUCAUUAAGUUGGGCACUCUAGCGAGACUGCCGGUAAUAAACCGGAGGAAGGUGGGGAUGACGUCAAAUCAUCAUGCCCCUUAUGACCUGGGCUACACACGUGCUACAAUGGUCGGUACAACGAGUUGCGAGCCGGUGACGGCAAGCUAAUCUCUGAAAGCCGAUCUCAGUUCGGAUUGGAGGCUGCAACUCGCCUCCAUGAAGUCGGAAUCGCUAGUAAUCGCGGAUCAGCACGCCGCGGUGAAUACGUUCCCGGGCCUUGUACACACCGCCCGUCACACCACGAGAGUUUGUAACACCCGAAGUCGGUGAGGUANCCUUUUAGGG